UUGAACAGGAAAGUGAGAACAAAGGCGUUGUUGUAGCCAUUUUGGCCAUGCUACAACGAUGCAGACAGCUCUCUUUGUCACUCCUACAACGUGCUUGUUCAAACAACACAUUUUCUUUCAGGUUUUGUGCUUUAGGCAGAGUGACAUGAUGCAGGAUGGAGUUGCGAAGAGUUCCAGGACAUGGUCAAAGAUGGCUGGAACAGUCGGAUGGAUUUGCAAUCAUGCAAUAAAGGCCCACAUGAGACGCCAUGGUCAAAUGGUUGGAGAUCGUUGAGAGUUUGCAGCUAUUGAUGAAAGUUGUUGUAAUAAUAGCAAGUAUCACCACAGAAGGGCCGGUGCAACAUGGCGACGGAAAAAGUGGGUAUUAAGAAUAUUAGGAGUAGGUGACCGCCAGAAACAUCCUGUCUUGUGGCUGGUGUGGUUAAACAAGUGCGUCCGGGAACCACCGUCAUCAGUGACCAAUGGGGCACUUACAGGAGUGCAUUGACUGCGACAGGCUACAGGCACUUCACAGUGAACCACUGUCAGUAGUUUGCGGAUCCAAACACCUUGCGCGCCUCCCAGUAUGUCAACCCCAGCUUUCUCUGUGGACCAUGCAACUUGGACUUUCCGAGUUUCAUAUAGGACAAUGCAUCUUGCUCUGCAUCUGUAAACCAUGGAUUCAUCUUUUGGACAUUUUCAGGAGAAUGGCUGUGUGUGUGUGUGUGUGUGCG